rnacentral:rRNA from 1 species
CCUACGGGAGGCAGCAGUAGGGAAUUUUGCGCAAUGGGGGAAACCCUGACGCAGCAACACCGCGUGAAUGAUAAGCCCUUCGGGGUGUAAAGGUCUGUCAAGCGGGACGAAUAUUGACGGUACCUAUAAAGGAAGCACCGGCUAACUCCGUGCCAGCAGCCGCGGUAAUACGUAGGGGGCAAGCGUUGUCCGGAAUCACUGGGCGUAAAGCGUUCGUAGGCGGUAGGUCAAGUCUGAUGUUAAAGCCCGUGGCUUAACUCCGGUUCGGCAUUGGAUACUGGCAAGCUAGAGUGUAGGAGAGGUAAGGGGAAUUCCUGGUGUAGCGGUGAAAUGCGUAGAUAUCAGGAGGAACAUCAGUGGCGAAAGCGCUUUACUGGACCGUAAUUGACGCUGAGGAACGAAAGCGAGGGGAGCAAAUGGGAUUAGAUACCCGUGUAGUC